GACGAACGCUGGCGGCGUGCCUAAUACAUGCAAGUCGAACGCACUCUCGUUUAGAUUGACGGAGUUUGCUCCUGAUUGAUCAACAUUUGAGUGAGUGGCGGACGGGUGAGUAACACGUGGGUAACCUGCCCUAAAGUGGGGGAUAACAUUUGGAAACAGAUGCUAAUACCGCAUAAAACCUAACACCGCAUGGUGUAGGGUUGAAAGAUGGUUUCGGCUAUCACUUUAGGAUGGACCCGCGGUGCAUUAGUUAGUUGGUGAGGUAAAGGCUCACCAAGACCGUGAUGCAUAGCCGACCUGAGAGGGUAAUCGGCCACACUGGGACUGAGACACGGCCCAGACUCCUACGGGAGGCAGCAGUAGGGAAUCUUCCACAAUGGACGAAAGUCUGAUGGAGCAACGCCGCGUGAGUGAAGAAGGUGUUCGGAUCGUAAAACUCUGUUGUUGGAGAAGAAUGUAUCUGAUAGUAACUGAGCAGGUAGUGACGGUAUCCAACCAGAAAGCCACGGCUAACUACGUG
rnacentral:rRNA from 1 species